GUGACUUUUGUGAAGAGCUGCAGUUAAAAAUGGAGGAAACUGGUGUUGUAGAAAGACUCGUCUUCCGCAGUUAAGCCCCUGUCCAUGUACUAAAUACACUGAAGGCAACAGGUUCACCAAAAGCUGGUCUCAUUGCAAGAAAUAACUUUAUUAAAAAGUGUGAAAACUUGGCUUCAUUAUUCCUUGGAUUGAAGUUCACUGAUCGUGCUGAUAUGGAAGUGUUAUCCAACUACAUAAAGGACUUCAUAGUGUCUAAUAGACUU